rnacentral:misc_RNA from 1 species
UUAAGUUCAGCGGGUAUCCCUACCUGAUCCGAGGUCAACCUUAAAAAAUUGGGGGUUACUGGCAAGCAACACACCCGGACUUCCUAAGCGAGAAGAAUUACUACGCUUGGAGCCGAAUGGCACCGCCACUGAUUUUAAGGAGUACCCUUGCGAGUAGCUCCCAAUACCAAGCAGAGCUUGAGGGUUGUAAUGACGCUCGA